AAUGACGCAUUGAUGACUGAAGCAUAAUAACAACAUCUAGUACCAAACUCAACACAAACAUUACAGAGUAAUACUUUUAAGGACAUGAUUUCCUGCAACAAAUGUUUGGGUUCAUUUCCUGGUCAGCUGAUCCAGCCGGAGCCGCUUCGCACCGGGACGACGCGUCUCACCGUCCGGACCGCGUUUAAAAUGACUGCGACGGGACCGUGAGCCACGUGGAUCAGUACCGGAGAGUGGAUCGGCACCGGGGUCUCCGGGGGUCUGCGCACCAGCGUCGAGCAGCAGACUGAGUCCUCCUGCUUCUCUUCUCUGCUUCCGGGAUCGUUUCCUCUCGUCUCAGGACGCUGCUGAGACACAGCCCCAGUGAACUGGAUUCAAUGGUACACAUAGUAUUGUUGGAUCAGGACUGUGAGCGUCUCUGUCUGUCUCGUCCCCCCGAUGGAUGUUGUUCAGUUCAGAGUCACAGGGGAGCUUCAUCUUCGUUCUGUUGCAGGGCUGCAAACGUUGUCCUGGAACAAGUAGCACCCAAACUGGGGGGUUAGAAUUUGGGAGAACAGCAUAUUUUGCUCAUCCACCGAAGUUAUUCACCCAAAACACUGAUGACUUUUCCUCUCAUCGCUGCAGGAAUGUUCCUGAAUCCUCAUAACUCCUUUCAUCUCAUGCUGCUUCCUUUGUUAGCUCCUUUAGCAUAGGAAAGGUGCUUUAAUGCUUCCUUUGUCAGCUCCUUUAGCAUAGGAAAGGUGCUUUAAUGCUUCCUUUGUUAGCUCCUUUAGCAUAGGAAAGGUGCUUUAAUGCUUCCUUUGUUAGCUCCUUUAGCAUAGGAAAGGUGCUUUAAUGCUUCCUUUGUUAGCUCCUUUAGCAUAGGAAAGGUGCUUUAAUGCUUCCUUUGUUAGCUCAUUUAGCAUAGGAAAGGUGCUUUAAUGCUUCCUUUGUUAGCUCCUUUAGCAUAGGAAAGGUGCUUUAAUGCUCACAGUUUGCUUCGUCCUUUU